rnacentral:tRNA from 1 species
GGAGAGGUGGCUGAGUGGCUUAAGGCACCGCACGCGGUACACGGUAAAUCGUGUCGGAGGUUCGAAUCCUUCCCCUCUCCGCCA